rnacentral:rRNA from 1 species
AAUCAACGCUGGCGGCGUGCCUCAGACAUACAAGUCGAACGCGAAAGUUUCCGUUCGGGGAACAAGUAGAGUGGCGCACGGGUGAGUAACACGUAGGUAAUCUACCUUUGGAUGGGGAAUAACAACCGGAAACGGUUGCUAAUACCGCAUAAUGCAGCGGCACCUAAUGGUGACAGUUGUUAAAGCGGGGGAUCGAAAGACCUCGCGUCUAAAGAGGAGCCUGCGGCGGAUUAGCUAGUU